UGCAGCUAACUGUGUGAAAUCGUGUGCGUGUGAACUGCAGGACACAUGAGCAUCGACAUUUUGAACGCAUAUUGCGGUCCAUGCAAAAGUUUAAAUUAUUCAUUUAAACUGCAUGGACCACGUAUGGUUGAGUG
rnacentral:rRNA from 1 species